GACUAUAUGCCAAGUUUAGUGAGUGAGAGUUUGGACUAGAGAAGAUUCCAUUCUUUAGACAUGUUUUGUCCGAGUAAGGAAUUGAAGUGGAUUCUAGAAAGGUCAAGUACAUAAAUCACCAGCAACUGUUCGUGAAGUGAGAAGUUUUCUUAAAAUGGUUGGAUGCUAUCGAAGUCAGAUCUGAAUAUGAAGCAUGAGAUGGCUGAAACUGAUCAAAGACUAUAAAUCAGAGAUUUUAUCAUCCGAACAAAACUAAUGUA
rnacentral:lncRNA from 1 species